UACGGAGGGUGCGAGCGUUGUCCGGAAUCACUGGGCGUAAAGGGCGCGUAGGUGGCGCGGGCAGUCAACGGUGAAAGUUCGGGGCUCAACCCUGAAUCGGCCGUCGAUACUCCCGUGCUUGAGCACUGUAGAGGCAGAUGGAAUUCCGGGUGUAGCGGUGGAAUGCGUAGAGAUCCGGAAGAACACCGGUGGCGAAGGCGGUCUGCUGGGCAGUAGCUGACACUGAGGCGCGACAGCGUGGGGGGCAAACAGG
rnacentral:rRNA from 1 species